rnacentral:sRNA from 1 species
AUGCCCUGUCUACGCCAAAAUGAAAGAGAACGAGCUAUUGGGAUGUUGGCAGCAGGAAUGACUCACGUGCAGGUUGCAAAUCAUUUUAAUGUCUCUAGAAUGACUAUUGCAAGGCUUAAGACUCGUCUUAGAGAUACUGGCACAACAAAUGAUCGCCCCGUAGUGGCAAGCUACUUGAAACGACGUUACGUCAAGACAGACACAUUCGCAUCAUUCAUUUUCGGAAUCCGGCGAUUUGUCAACGUGUCACAAACUGCACGACAAACCCAAGGAAGACAUAACAAAAGAAUAUCUGCUCAAACAAUUCGUAAGCGAUUGCGUCAAGUUGGUCUAAGAGCUCGUCGUCCAUUGAAGGGACCUAUCCUUACGCAGCGUCACAGGAUGGCGUGA